CCCCUCCAGGUCAGUUAUUUAUUACGUACAGAAGUUGUCAUCUUGAAUUGUUUCAGUUGUUGUCUUGAUUUGUGUCACAUGCAAUCUAGGCAUAAUAUACACGUUUUGACCCACUAAGCUUUUGGGGUUAAGUAGUUUCUUAGCAACUGUAGCAUAUAUUAUUCCCAACUUUGAUUUUAGACAUCAUAAUAUAGACAGAAGUUGUGAAGCAAUAUAAAAAAGCUUAUUUAACCUCACAGAAUCCAUAAAGCUGGCCACAGUUGAGAAGAGGCUUGAUGCAUAUCAUUGUGCCUUCCCUCUUCCAUUCACUAUUUUCAACUUUCUUUUAUGAUUUUAUUGGAAACUUUAUUAAACUCACAGUUUAUAUUGAUGGUUCUGCAGAAAUCAGCCUUGACACCUGAGGUUCACUGAUCUAUCAGCUGCAAAACUUUGACAUAUUUUUCUUAAAAUCCUUGGUUAUCUCAUAACCAACUUUCAGGUUUAGAAAUACUAUCAGUUUCAUAUAGCACUCAAAACAAGCCUUCCUGCCAUGUUUUCUCUAACUGAAUAGCAGAAUAAUUAUCUAACCCAAAUC
rnacentral:lncRNA from 1 species